ACCGCCCGUCACACCACGGGAGUUGGAGACGCCCGAAGCCGAUUAUCUAACCUUUUGGAAGAAGUCGUCGAAGGUGGAAUCAAUAACUGGGGUGAAGUCGUAACAAGGUAGCCGUAUCGGAAGGUGCGGCUGGAUCACCUCCUUUCUAAGGAGA
rnacentral:rRNA from 1 species